rfam:Oryza sativa Japonica Group DNA, chromosome 2, cultivar: Nipponbare, complete sequence.
AAAAAGUCAAACCGUGAGUUCCCGUGCCAACGUUUGACUAUCAUCUUAUAUGAAAUUUUUCUAUAAUUAAUAUUUUUAUUGUUGUUAGAUGAUAAAACAUGAUUAAUACUUUAUGCGCGACUUAUCUUUUUAAUUAUUUUUAUAAUUUUUUUUCAAAUAAGACGGACGGUCAAACGUUGGACACGGAAACCAGCAUUUGUC